CAAGACCUUGCACUUUUGGAGCGGCCGAUGUCUGAUUAGCUAGUUGGUGGGGUAAAAGCCUACCAAGGCAUCGAUCAGUAGCUGGUCUGAGAGGACGACCAGCCACACUGGGACUGAGACACGGCCCAGACUCCUACGGGAGGCAGCAGUGGGGAAUUUUGGACAAUGGGCGCAAGCCUGAUCCAGCCAUGCCGCGUGAGUGAAGAAGGCCUUCGGGUUGUAAAGCUCUUUCAGUCGGGAAGAAAAGGUUGCGACUAAUAAUCGCGAUCAAUGACGGUACCGAAAGAAGAAGCACCGGCUAACUACGUGCCAGCAGCCGCGGUAAUACGUAGGGUGCGAGCGUUAAUCGGAAUUACUGGGCGUAAAGGGUGCGCAGGCGGUUUUGUAAGUCAGAUGUGAAAUCCCCGGGCUUAACCUGGGAACU
rnacentral:rRNA from 1 species